rnacentral:sRNA from 1 species
GUCCUCGAUCUGCUGCGGACAGAUGAAGUGGAUAUGGCUGUCGAACCCGCCCGCGGUCAGGAUCCGCCCCUCGGCGGCGAUCGCCUCGGUCCCGGGCCCCACGAUGAUGUCGACCCCGGGCUGGGUGUCAGGAUUGCCCGCCUUGCCGAUCUUCGCGAUGCGCCCGUCCUUCAGCCCGAUAUCGGCCUUGUAGAUGCCCGUAUGGUCGACGAUCAGCGCAUUGGUGAUCACCGUGUCCACCGCGCCCUCGGCCCGGGUGGCCUGGCUCUGGCCCAUGCCGUCGCGGAU